UCUGAGCUGCUGCCUGCAGACAGACGAAGAGCAGCGCUGGUCUGCCAAGAGGCUCCUGCAGCAUCCAUUUGUAACAGCAGCCAAGCCAGCAUCCACCCUGGCACCACUCAUCAACUCAGCGAAGAAGAAGAAGACGAAGAAGACAAGAAUCUAACGAUGAAGAUAUUAUUACCAAGUUAAAGUAGGAUUGUAGAGUAGGACUCUAGAUUAGGAUUGUUAAGUAGUUUUGUAGUAUAGGUUUAUGGAUAGGAUUAUAAUUAAAUAAAGUUUUCAAAGCAUCAAGUCAUUUGGAAGAUUCCCCUCCUUCUGACCCCUUCAGAAAACAUUUCCUUCUGAAUUGCCAGUUGUCUUUUAUUGGUGCUGAGACACACUUAUGGCUUCUUUGGUAUGGUUUGUAAAUGGAGAAGGCUCUUCUUCAUUCAUCCUCUCCAGACUACACUGCCUUUGGCAUACGGCCCACCGGCCCCGUUUGGCACAUCUGUGGCACUUCCAGUUGAGGCAGAAAGGGCAAUGGCAUUUGCGGGAAAAACCAAAGGGCGAGUGGGGCAGCCAAAACAUCCUGUGCAGAUGCAGGCCUUCAGCUGUGACUCGAGAGCAUUUGGGUGCCUGCCACUUGGAUUUGUAUCGCGAAGGGCAAUGUCUUUGGCUGGAGGAGAGCCUUGCUCAGCAGAGAAAGCAGAAAGAUCAGAGAGGUGCUCUGAAAGGUCUCCUGCGGUGCAGAGCUGUCAGCGAGUGUGAGGUGAGAGCGGGCCCGGCCUUGCCCGGCGUGGAGCUGCAGCAGAGCCCUGGCAGAGCCCGGAGCAGCCUGAGCCUGGGCAGGGGCAGGCUGCAAGGAGGCCCUUGUAGCUGCAGGAGGCACAGCCCGGCCCUGCGUGCCUCUUGCUGGCAGCGGGCGCAUCCUCUGCUCUCAGCGCCCAAGCGCAGCCGGCUGCUCCCGAGGGGAAGCGGAGCCUGGCUCAGCAUUCCCACUCUUGUGCCGGCUGCCCUGCGACUCCUGGCAAAGGUCAGCAGUGUGUGCAGCACUCUGGGCACCGGGGCAGGGAGCCGGGCUGCUCGGCAGGCUGGAGCACAGGGCAGCGUCCUUCAGGCACGGCGCUUGUGCCAGGGGACCAUGGGCCAGCGGGAGGCAGGGACAGCUUGUCAGCUCAUGGCUGCAGGAGCCAGUGCCUCACACAGCUCUGGGAGGCAGCGCCUGCACUUCUGCACUGAGCCACAGCAAAGCUGUGACCUGCAGAGUGCUUUGCAGAAAUAUUCAGGGCCAGCAGGCCGGCCUGCUUCGUGCUCUCUGGCACACAGCAAGAGCUGUGCCACGCCGCAGCUCGGAGCUGCUGGGAGAGAGGUGUUAGAAAUAAACUCUUAGGUACAAUUAAAUGGAGACAAAGUCAUUAAAGCAAAAGAGAACCGUUUUUCUUAGUAAGGAUUCAACUGAGCUGGGUGUACUUCCCUUUUGGUUUGGUGUUCAACCCCCCCCAUUUUCCAGCACACAUCAACACCCAACAAAUUAACUGGAACAAAUGCAAACCAUAACUAACAACACCUAGCACCAACAACUUUCAUUCUUUUUUUGUAAUGACCUUUUGGCUGAGGCAAAAUAUUACCUCCUGUCUCUCAGAGGGAAUCGGGGAUGAGCCUGAGCCUUGUGCUUGACUAGUGAUCUGAUUUGGAAGGGAGCAGAAGGGUUUCAGCAGGCAAUUUGUGCUUCCUUUAUUCAUUUCUUAAGGAAAGACGCAGUGUGGCUUCAGCCAGCAAAAGCAUCUGCCAGUUGCAUUGACGAAAUGCUUGUGAGGAAUUCCCAGAAAAAGAACAUGUUGAAGAAAAGUUUAAUCGUAACAAAUCCUGCAUUCCUUUAGCUGCAGGAGGCUCUGUUGGCACGGAGUCUGUUGAGCCAGUUGAGGGAUUCUCUGCUGCGCAGCAGACGCAGAGCAUCCAUCUUCUCCAUCCCGCGAGGGAAUAGAGAGCAAUUUGCUGACAUUUGCGAGCCAAACUCUGGACUCACCAUACAGGUGAGUGCAGAAGAUUCUUGGAAAGGCUUCUGAUGCUGAGGGGCUGGGCUGGGCUGCAGGAUGGGCUGCAGGUGGGCUCAAGUACCAGAGUCACGGAUUUCGCCUCUAGCUUUGGACAGGAACUGGAGACUUGGGAAUGGGAGUCCUAGGGCAUGGGAGUGUUCAAGAAACUGGCAAUCCAAAUGGAUAAUCUUGCCUCUACUUUUCUGAUAGGUUUGGAAGAGCAGCUUUCUGUCACGCCAAAAAAUCUGCAGAGGGCUGCCUAAAGGAACCAAAGGGAUUGAUCACAUCCCUGACAUUCCUUUUUUGGAGUUUGUCCCACUUAUUUUGGUGGUUGUUUUUGAUCACUAAACACCAUGAGCUCACGUCAGCGAAAGCGCCCUGGAGGAGCAGUUGAUUCCAGACCAGCUUGGAAACGGAGCAGGCUGCUGCCCUCCAGCGCAGGUGGAACUUUGCAGACGGAGCCAACAGAGCUUAAGGAAAGUGGCACACCUGCUUUUGAGCCUGCUGGUGUAGAAGUCAUAGAUCUCACAGGUGACUCUUCUGAGCCUGAAGUCAUCACUAUCAGUGAUGAUGAGUCUCCUGUGGACACGCAGCAGAGCCAGCAGCAGCCACAUCUUUCCAGAGCAUCAGAGAAUUCAGCUGAGCCACUGGCAAGGAAUGAUGCUUUUAUGGCCAGUGCUGGAUGUCACAAGCCCUGAUUUGCUUGCUUCUGUGAUGGAAAUCUUGCAGUUCAAGUUGGCUGCCUGUGCAGUAAAAUUCCCAUUCUGCAGAGGAACAGGAAAGUGCUGCUGUAGGAGCACUCCAUCAGGAUAAGAAAGAUACAGUUCAUUGGACUGAUUAAUUUUAACCAAGUGUCUUUGUCACUAGAGAUGACAAAGAACAUUAGAAUUAUGGUAUAAGGUUUUCAAAGUGUUUUUUUGGGGUGGGGGGAAAGACACAGGUUUUAAUAAAGCUGGUGUGCUUUGAGCCUUUUGGAAAGGCAAUGUAGGAGGCAACUUGAGUAUGGAACUUUUAGGUGUCAGGCCUUAAAUAUGCUGCCUAAAGGGCUUCUACAAUUCUAAACCAUAAUGCAUUUUGCCAAUGAAUUUGUAGAUGCUUAAGUUUUGGUUGUUAAGUCUGUAGGUGAACAAAUCCCAACCCCUGGUUAAUAUGAAACAGGAAUACUUUGUUCCUCCAGUCUCAAGUGUCUCAGUUACUGAAUGUAAUGGCUCUGUUUAGUUAAGGCUGAAAUAGCCCAGUGCUACAGCAUUUAAAAUUGACCAAAGGCUCCUUCCCAGGGCUGGAUCUUGCCAGAACUGUGUUACUCUGUAGUUGAAAGUUGGGUCCUGGAAUGAAUAUUCUGGGGUGAAUAAUUCCCAGAGGACAGCUGAUGCUGUAGUUACAAAGCUGUUACUGAUGACCUACUGGAAGUCAAAGUUGCCAGACACAAACUGGCCAGUGCUAAAGACUGCUGCUACUUCAAAGCCCAGAGCAGGGUGACUGACUGCACCUUUCUCCUAGUGAAAACCAGGACACCCUUUCCCUCAGGGCAGGGGAGACCCCAAAUCCUCAUUAAAUGCAGCAAACAGAGACUUCAAGACAGCAGGGUUCUUCAAAGGAAAUGUGUCAUGGCUAGUCAGUGCAGCUGUAUGAAUAGGUGAGAUUUUAUACAUCAAUAACUAUUGGAGUGUGGUUAUAUUAACAGCUGCAUGUUCUUUCUAGUUCUGUUUCCUCUAGUGCGCAGCAAGGAGCUGUUAUUAGGUGUCCGCUUUGCAUGGAAUUUUACUCAGAGGUAAGGAUCCACCUGUUGUCGUCCUUUCUGCUUUGUGGGAGGAGAAAGCCAGAAGGGGGGAGCUGCACAAGUCCGUUGGAUAAUGUGGGAUGCUGUGGGCAGCUGGCUGGAAGCACAGCCCUUGCUGUGAAGCUCCACAAGUCCCUUCUUGGUGAAUGUAGAGGCAGAAGCCCUUGCCAAGAUGGCACUGGCAGAUCUGUGGGUCCCUCGUAAUUCUAAUUCUAGAUGCUCUAAAUAGAGCCUGGUGCAGUUGAGCAGCAAAAUCAAAUUCUUUCCUCCCAAGAAAUGUUGUGGUUUUCUUUCCUCCAGAUUAUGCAACAUGGACGACAGCUUGUGGCAACCCUGUGUGGCCAUGUCUUCUGCAGUAGAUGCCUCCCUAUUGCCCUUGGGGUUGCUCACAUAUGCCCAACCUGCAGGGUGAAACUCAAUGCAGCAGUAUAUUUUCCCAUUUAUUUAUGAGUGCUUCUCAGGACAGACUGAGAUAGAUCUUGGCCAAUAGGCAGUGUAGAGACUUGUUUCUUUCUGUUAUAUAGUUCUUCCUGUAUAAACUUUCAUUUUUGCUGAAUUCAAUUAUAAAUAAAGUUUUGAUUGAUUUAAA